rnacentral:lncRNA from 1 species
GGAGUCGGUUUUCAGGAGCAGGAAAAAGAAACAGUUCUCUUUUCCCGGCUUGGAAGGCAAGUUCCACUGUGCUAGACACUGGCCCUGUCAUUUUUAGGAAAGGGAAAAGGUCACAGCUUGAGAGCCUUGUCCCAAUGCUUUGGAAGCUCUUGGGCUUGUCCCCUAGAACUGGCCUGGACCCUCUGGAGCAGCAGAGGGAGGACUGGAGUCAGGUUUCCUGUUGGCUCUUGGUGCGGUAAGCUGGCCUUGUAGCUGCCUGCCAGGCCUUGCGCUCACCCCAGACUGCCAGAGAGUCCAGACUGGCCCCAAGUGAUAAGGCCCUAGGCUGGGACGCGGCCACUGCAAUGGAAAAGCAGGAGGAACAGGAGAACUUGGAAACUAAUUUGAUACGGGGAUGAGGGAGAGAAAGGAGCCCAAGAUGACCUCUAAAGAUCCCUGGAGAACGGGGACAGGUGCCGGAGCGCAAGCCCAGCAGAGGCCUCAGCCCAGUGCCAGCAUUGAAGACCAGAGUGGAGAGGAUGGCACAGAUAAAGGUCAACCAACUGCAGAUGAAGGCCUACCUAGAAGGGUCUGCGCAGGACAGGCAGAGUCCCUCCAGAUCUGAAGACUAUGCAGCCAGCUAGCACCAGGCCUACACCAGGGGACAAGACCAAGAAUGAAGAGACCAAGGCUCCCUGCAGAUCACAUGGCCGAUUCUCAUUGCUUCCAACCUUGGCUGCCUGGAAGAACCUUAUCUCUACAUAGAUACAGCCAGUGAGUCUACACUAGACAAGGCAACCAGAGACCAAAGAGAAGAAAAGGCAGAGCGGGGACAUCCGGAGACAAGAGAGAAGCAACAGCUGUUGGCUUGGAAUACCACAGAAAGAAACUUGAGGUAGCGGCUUGCCAGUCGGCUACUGUGAAACCAGAGGCAUGGUAUCUUUUCUGCCACUAGCCUGGCAGGCAUUGACAGGGAGGUUGGCCUUGGCAGUGAGGGAGCAUCCCCAAUCCCAGUAGCCUGGGGCAAUCUCUUUCUGGAAGACAGCGGCUUCCUUGCUUUUGCUGGCUCUUCCAGUUCACCAUCACCUGAGAGUUUCCGGCUGUGAACACAGCCUGCCAAGGGGCAAGCUGAAGGAAACAGACUGCAUGAGAAAAUGGGGAACCUGUCAGGGUAGAAGCAAGCUUCCUGCAGCCCCAUGGCACGGUUCUCCAGUUUGGGUUGCCUCUCAUUUUGGCAUGGAUUUGAGGAGAUGUGUUCUAAAGUUUCUGGAGAAAAUUAGAAGGAUUGCAAGUAAAGUUGGGUAGUGCUCUAU